rnacentral:rRNA from 1 species
AGUGAACGCUGGCGGUAGGCCUAACACAUGCAAGUCGAACGGCAGCACAGGAGAGCUUGCCCUCUGGGUGGCGAGUGGCGGACGGGUGAGGAAUACAUCGGAAUCUGCCCAGUCGUGGGGGAUAACGUAGGGAAACUUACGCUAAUACCGCAUACGACCUUCGGGUGAAAGAGGGGGAUCGCAAGACCUCUCGCGAUUGGAUGAGCCGAUGUCGGAUUAGCUAGUUGGCGGGGUAAUGGCCCACCAAGGCGACGAUCCGUAGCUGGUCUGAGAGGAUGAUCAGCCACACGGGAAGUGAGACACGGUCCAGACUCCUACGGGAGGCAGCAGUGGGGAAUAUUGGACAAUGGGGGCAAGCCUGAUCCAGCCAUACCGCGUGGGUGAAGAAGGCGUUCGGGUUGGAAAGCCCUGUUGUUGGGAAAGAAAUCUUUCAGGCUAAUACCCUGGGAGGAUGACGGUACCCAAAGAAUAAGCACCGGCUAACUUCGUG